AAUCAACGCUGGCGGCGUGCCUAAUACAUGCAAGUCGAACGCGAAAGUGGAGCAAUCCAUGAGUAGAGUGGCAAACGGGUGAGUAACGCGUGGGUGACCUGCCUUCGAGUGGGGGAUAACGUUCCGAAAGGGACGCUAAUACCGCAUGACAUCCUGCCUUUUAAGAGGUGGAGAGCAAAGCCGGGGAUCGCAAGACCUGGCGCUUGAAGAGGGGCCCGCGUCCGAUUAGCUAGUUGGUGGGGUAACGGCUCACCAAGGCGACGAUCGGUAACCGGCCUGAGAGGACGGCCAGCCACACUGGGACUGAGACACGGCCCAGACUUCUACGGGAGGCAGCAGUGGGGAAUAUUGGACAAUGGGGGAAACCCUGAUCCAGCGACGCCGCGUGUGUGAAGAAGGCCUGCGGGUUGUAAAGCACUUUCGGUGGGAACG
rnacentral:rRNA from 1 species